rnacentral:rRNA from 1 species
CCUACGGGUGGCAGCAGUGGGGAAUAUUGCACAAUGGGCGCAAGCCUGAUGCAGCCAUGCCGCGUGUGUGGAGAAGGCCUUCGGGUUGUAAAGCACUUUCAGCGGGGAGGAAGGCGGUGAGGUUAAUAACCUCAUCGAUUGACGUUACCCGCAGAAGAAGCACCGGCUAACUCCGUGCCAGCAGCCGCGGUAAUACGGAGGGUGCAAGCGUUAAUCGGAAUUACUGGGCGUAAAGCGCACGCAGGCGGUCUGUCAAGUCGGAUGUGAAAUCCCCGGGCUCAACCUGGGAACUGCAUUCGAAACUGGCAGGCUAGAGUCUUGUAGAGGGGAGUAGAAUUCCAGGUGUAGCGGUGAAAUGCGUAGAGAUCUGGAGGAAUACCGGUGGCGAAGGCGGCCCCCUGGACAAAGACUGACGCUCAGGUGCGAAAGCGUGGGGAGCAAACAGGAUUAGAUACCCGGGUAGUC